rnacentral:misc_RNA from 1 species
AACGCAAAUUGCACCUCUUGGUAUUCCGAGAGGUAUGCCUGUUUGAGAAUCAGAAACACCUCACUACUUGUAGUGGAUGUGAGUCUCACUGAGUGUGACUUGAAAUGGAUGCGGCGCGACUGUGCUCCUGGACGGGUUGUUCAACUCACGGAAGGGUGUGCAGACGAGCUGGACCAGUCUUUGUCUGGCAGUUAGCUGGACAAGGACUCACCUAUGAUCUCAAAUCAAGCAAGACUACCCGCUGAACUUAA